rnacentral:tRNA from 1 species
GCCCCGGUAGUGUAGUCGGGUUAAAUUCAACCGAAUAGGGUUGGAGACCAAUCAUACGGGCCUCAUCGAUCUAAUUGGGCUGAAAAGGUUUCGAGUGGAUCGAGGCCAAUCGAGCCUGCGACCCGGGUUCAAAUCCCGGCCGGGGCA